GCAGGGCUGAAUACUGUGGGGUUUUUUAUCAGUGGUUUACAUAGCCAGACACCAUUCUAAAAAAAGAAAAAAAGCAGUCUUCCCUUUAAAGUGGUUAUGGUUAUAAUCAUAUGCUAAGUUUUUUUCAUAGCAUAUCAUUAUUAAAGGUAAAUACAAAG